UACGUAGGUGGCGAGCGUUGUCCGGAUUUACUGGGCGUAAAGGAUGCGUAGGCGGAUAUUUUAAGUGAGAUGUGAAAUACCCGAGCUUAACUUGGGUGCUGCAUUUCAAACUGGAUAUCUAGAGUGCGGGAGAGGAGAAUGGAAUUCCUAGUGUAGCGGUGAAAUGCGUAGAGAUUAGGAAGAACACCAGUGGCGAAGGCGAUUCUCUGGACCGUAACUGACGACUGAGGC
rnacentral:rRNA from 1 species